GGCGGACGGGUGAGGAAUACAUCGGAAUCUACUCUGUCGUGGGGGGAGUAACGUAGGGAAACUUACGCUAAUACCGCAUACGACCUACGGGUGAAAGCAGGGGAUCUUCGGACCUUGCGCGAUUGAAUGAGCCGAUGUCGGAUUAGCUAGUUGGCGGGGUAAAGGCCCACCAAGGCGACGAUCCGUAGCUGGUCUGAGAGGAUGAUCAGCCACACUGGAACUGAGACACGGUCCAGACUCCUACGGGAGGCAGCAGCU
rnacentral:rRNA from 1 species